rnacentral:lncRNA from 1 species
CACAUAGCAGCCCUUGUCACUCUGUGAUUCUAAAGAUAUGGUUUCAUUUCUUCCAUCCAAUCCUGGUACCACAAGAAAAACAGAAGAUGGCUUGCCAUCUGAAGAAUCUACAAUGAGAAGAGGUUUAUCUGCUCCUUGGUGAAUCACAUUCAUUCCAGGAAGAUCAAAUGGUUCUAACAUUACUGAUCUAUCAUUAGCAUCUGCCAAUGUUGAAAACUUUGAGGAAGAUUCUUUUGGGACAAGCCUAAAAGUUGCCUGAAGAGCCAAGUCUGUUCCAGAUUCAGGAAACUUUUGCAUUCCAAGUGAUUGGUUUGAAUUUACUAAAACAAAAGUUGAAUUUUCAAAGAAUUGGGAAAAAGAAACUAGUUGACUAUUGUAACUUUCUGGAAUAGGAGUUAUCCAUUCGGAAGUAUUAGCCCCAGAUUUAAGGUCCCAAUCACCACCGAGGGUAUGACCGGCAAGAAGAUAAGGACCAUAAAGAAUUGCGUGAAUAGAUGCAUAUUCAGGCCUGUCAUCUGGAUUCAGUUCAUAAACACUAUCAGUGAUAUAACAACUUUUUUGUUAGAAAUAUAUGCUCUGACAGAAAAAAUAUCAGUAUCCAGAUUAUCCUGUGAAGCUACCUUUUAUGGCCUCUGUUCUUGUGGUAAGGGGCAACUGAAGGGUCAGGUUGUCACUAGCACUCCACUGUCUUGUGAUUGACAAAUAAUUUCCUAGAGGCCACAAAAUAGAACAUUCGUAAUGUUUCAUUUGUUAAUUUUUUCUGUUCAAAUAUUCACAAAUAUAUACAGUUUACUAGUGGAUGUAUUUGGUGCAAAAGAACUUAUUUCUUUUUGAGAAAUACACUUUCCAGCACAUUCUAUGUUAUUAGUCAAAAUUAAUUAGAUAACCAAAAAUUUGACAGUUCUCACUUGUUUAAGUGUGUUGGUAGCACUCAUUAUUUUUAUUUGGUGGUCCAACAUUUUAGCAACUUGCGUGCAUGUGUGUAAAAUCAGAUAAGCAAUAGAAUCUCUGCUUUUGGAUAAUAAAAAGGAAGUAAAGAGAGAUUCACACCUGGAGCUGGAAGAGACAAAGUUUCACCAUUUAAUAUCCCCUUGGCACCAUCUAGACUAGUCCAAGUAGGCAGUCGAAAGUUCAAUGCACUCCAAGUAUUCUCAUCAUCACUAAGUACUUUCUGCAUCAAACAAAGAGUUAUGAAAAGGAUUUAACACAUUGAAAAAUAAAAUCAUUAGUGCAGAAGGCUUUACGACAGAAACAGUGUGAAUCUUGCCCAGAUUAUGAAGACUCUUACUCUAAAAGGUAUCUAAGGUGAAUAUUAAGCUGAGUGAAAGAUGCCACAACCCAUAAAACAAUAUCACAGUUACCUCAAAUGGAGAAAACGUAAAUGUCACUCGUAAGUAAGGAUCCCAUGAAGCAGCUGGAACAACUGUCUGAUUGAGCAAAAGUUUUCCAGAUUUCCAAUUAAAUGAGCUUGAUAUGUACUGAAUGACGUAAAGUGUAGGAUUUUUCCCUUCUUCUUCGAAAUAUAUAGAAUCCCCCAACUUUGAGAAUGAUUCAAUUCCUAACAAACAAAAAGGGUGAAUUUAGAACAAAUGAGUAUAAGAGUAUGGUGAAGUUGAAAAAAAAAUAUGAAGCAGUCUGGAAAGUAUAUUAACAGCAAAUGCACACCCGUUCCAUAGCAGCACCAGAAAGUGUCAAAUGGUGUUCCCCAACCGUGGAAUGUUAUAGCCUUGGAAACGCCAAGACCUAGUGGAAGCAUAUAAAUCAUCACUCCAGGAUCUGUUCCUCUUUGAAUGCUGAGCACUCCAUUGAUUAAUGCACGCUCAUAAUAGUCUGCAUAAGAGACUUCUUUGGUCCAUCUAAACAGGUGGCGUGAAACCUGAAAUUGUUAACUUGUACUAAGACAACGGAAACAACACAGACAUAUAGAGUAAAAACAUAGAUAAUGAACAUGUUCUGACGAGUUCCCAUGUGAAAAUAAGUUCUCUGUUUGGACAAUUUAAAUAAGGAGAAUCCAGUAUCAAAUUUAAAGUUACACCUUGGUAAUAUACGAUCUAUUUAAUAAAAUUUAAAUUGCGAAAGUGAAACUCCAAAUUGAUUGGAGAAUAGCAGCUAGAGUACCUAUGUAUGGUACAAUAUGUAAGUUUUGUUCUUUACAUAACUACGAAAACUUUCAUAGAUACGUUUUUAACAUCUCAAGCAUUUCAUAACGAGGUAAUAAAAUGAUGAACAAAUGGCUGUACCUUUAACAUAUUAUAAGUCGUGCACGAUUCUUCAUUCUCUGUUGUUUUUAAGGUAUCUGCUAUUCUCUUAGGAUCUCUCCUAUGAAAAAAAUAGAAAAAAGGAGUUAAGCAAAACAUAUGGAGUUGAUUAUGAGCUACUGCAAGAACUAAACACUUCUGCUUGACGCCCUAGCAGCAAAUAAUUAUUAAAUGAAAGAUUUCAAAUGCAUACGAAAAAACAGAAACUAAAAAAAGGCAACAUCUUAAUACCAGAAUUCGCCGACAGAUGUCCCUCCAGUUGCAUAGCUGUGAGAAGAGUUUAUGGUUUCCAUAAAGAAUGUCCCAAUAUCCUAAUAACAAUAAAUGAGAACAAAUCUCAGAAAGUUGAAAGGCAUGAAAAAUGUUAGGUUAUAUUGGGCUAACUGAUUACUUCCUACACAGCUACACAAAACAUACCCAAUAACAUGGAACAAACAUACAAAUAAUAUGAAUAGACCUUUAAGUUGAACUUCGAACGACAGAUACACAGCAGAUAUACAAAAGUUUGCAAUGAAGCAAUAUAGGAAAAAAUAAUGCAUACCAAAAGUAAAAGUUAAAAGGACACAGACAUUAUAAAUAGAGAAGAGAUGUAAAAUUUGAAACAUGGACCAUAUAGUUACUAUAACUAAAUUAAAAUGAGAGGGAGGAUAAUACCAAUUUAUGUAUUUUGUUUCUAUCAUUCAGAGUGCAACUUUACUUCUCAAACUGUGAAAGACUGAAUUCCCAUGGAAAUAAAUGGAGUUGUUUGAAUAACUAUUUUCUUGAAGUUAUAUUACCGAGUGAAUAGAUUAAUUGUGCAAGGCAUUACAUAUUGAAAGGCCAAAAACUAAAAAGAUAAUAUAACACCAAGCAAUAGAAAAAAAAAGUACAAUUCCAUUCAAACUCAAUGUAACUGAAGCAAUUUUAAGGGAAACAAUUACAUAUAUCAGUAAUCUACAAUGUAAGUAAAGCAAUUGACCUUAGAAAGUGGAUCGCCUGUGAUUUCAUAUCGCCUUUGUGAUCCAACAACAAUUGGGAUAUGCGUAUUAGCAUGCAUGUCAGCUAUGUCAUUAGCCUACAUGAGAAAUGAGAAUUUUGAAAUUAAAUCAUGGGUUUUAAGUUCAAAUUAGAUACAGUUUUUAGACCAGAAUAAAAAAGUUUAAGUUCAACUUCAACAUAUCUAAUUGUUUCAUUUGAAAGCCGGCAUAACAUUAUAAAUAAUAUACAAGCGAAAUACACUCUUUUUGUGGUGUAGAAAAAGAGGAAAAUGGAUUUCUCUUUACAUGAUCUGUUUUUUAGGGAAGAUGGAUUAGACCAACUUAACUUAACCCUGAGACUAUUUUAGGAUUUGAACUCAUGACCUCCAAGUCACAGGGCAACAACCAUAUCAUUCACUAAGGCUUUACUAAAAAAAAUUAAAAUUGAAAGAAGGCAACAAUUAAAUUUUACAUGAAAAUUGUCUGGUGUAGAUUGUAUGAUUUUUAUAGAUGUACUUAGACAUCUGAAAGCUGGCAACAGUUAUAACAGUCAUACAACUGAUUUACAAUCAAUUUGAAUGACAACCUCAACCUCUACAAACUUACAGACACAACUAUAUAAUACUAUGAGUACUAAAAAAGCAAUCGUGUUGUGUCAUAUAGAACACAGUUACCAUUACCUGCACUGCAAGCAACCCUAAAAAGCACGGCUUGUCAAAAAGUUGAGCCAAAAGCAUAUGCUUAGAAUCUUCCUGCAUAGAAAAACAUGACAACUUUACUUCCAAAUUGAUAUUUGCAGGUACCUUGCGCUAUAAUAAUGAAAUUACACAAACAAAUAACAAAGGCAACAAUAGAGCCAAAGAAAUUACACAAACCAAUAAACUUACUGUUAUGCUGUAUAAUCUGUAAAGGACAUCAUUCAUUCCUCCAGUUUCCUGGUUCAGUGAUUGAUAGUGUCUAUUUAUAGUGUACUUUGUUAUUACAUUCUGCACUCUGUUGUAGAAGUAGUCAACCAUCCAUGUUACCACAUUUAGAGCAUGAGAGUUUCCAGCAAAUGUAUAUUGAUCCAAGAGACCAGCCAGAAUCUGUCAAAGUUGAAUAGUUGAAAUCCCACAACAUAAGUUCGAAAGUACUUUCACUAUCAAAAUCGACUUUUGAGAGUACCUUGUGAAUGGUAUAAUAUGGAGCCCAAACUCCUUUAAUAGCUUCAACUCUAUCAAAAAACUCAGAUGGAAAUGCAGAUAGAUAUCCCGUUCCUAUUUUCUCCUGACAGGCAGACAGACCAGCAACAAGAGAUGUCAUUUUCUGUUUCAGGUUAUCGUUCUGUGUGCUGGCCCACAUUAGAGCUGAUGCGCUCAAGUAAUGCCCUACACAACGUAGAAAACAAUCAUAAAUUAACUAGGAAAAAUAAAUUGCAGAGGUUAAAAGUUCCAGGCAGGGUUAGUGUGCUUGGCAGAUGCAAGAUCACCAAAAUACCAGGGAGAACCAAACUUGCAUUAGAGUAUCAACAUAUUAGUGUGUGAGGGAUAUUUCAGAAGUUUUGAACUUACGACCAAACCCAAACCCGCUUCAGUCCAAUGAAUCCUUAAUAGAAAACCUUAUAUAUACAAAUAUAUCUUGAUGAUUCUCAUGAUGCACAAAUAAAUUUUUAUUAUCAAUUUUUAUAAUUUAUAAUUAUAUAAUAUAUAAAUCCAUAUUCCGUGUAGUGUCCUAUAUUCCUGAAGAUUAUACUUAUCAAAGUAUCCGUAACCGUCGUACCAUAUCCGUAUCCUACCUAGAAUAUAACUUGCAUGGUAGUUUAGUUCCAAGAAUAAAAAUUCCAAGUAAAAUGAAGUAGAAAAACCUUUACAAGGAAAAGAUACUUGUUCAUAUUUGUCGUUUUGAAUCUUGGAAUGAAAAAACAAAUCACAAAGCUAUUACUUGGAUGGCCUUUUAGUACCUUCCUCCCUAUUCCCCAGCAACUAAAAAUUCAUUAGAAUGUAAGAGCUGAGUAUAAACACAGCAUUAAACUGUACACAAGAUAGACAUGCACAAAAACAACUUGAUUUGAUCCCCCACCACUUCCUAUAAGCAAACGUCACGUUAACAAAAUGACUAAAAUUACAAAAUUAAAAUAAUCACAUAAAGUUCGUGAAAUGACGAUUGGUGAUACAGAUAAACCAAAAGUGAAAUUAGCAAAAAAACAAAGAAAGUGACAUCUAAAAUGAUGGAUGAAAUAAACUAACCAACAAAAUGACCCCGAAGCUCACAUCCUGGUUCUUCCCACCCUCCAUAAGGAGCAGCAGGAGUAGGUAAACCAGCUGUCUUCCUGAAGCUCCAAAUCAACCUGUCCACAUCAAACAUCAACAGAUACUCCAAGUUUGUUUGCUGUGCUAUGCCAUGGAUGGAAUACUCAUGCAACCUCACAUCCUCAAGAGGCACGUCUUUUAGAAAACCUUCAGGUGACUGGAACACACCCAUGUUCUUGAUUUUCUUAUACAUAACCGCCCAAUCAUGUUGCUGUCGUUCUGACAAGAACUUCCUCGGCAGCAAAUCAGCCCACGCAGAUUCAUCCGUUGGCGUCAAAUGGAAGUGAGACAUCAUCUCUUCCUUCCACGUUUCAUUCUUGGAUGACAAUAGCUCAUACAUUAAGGUAUGAGAUUGCGUUGGAAUGUUUGUGCAUUCUUUAGCAACAGCACAGCCACACAACACCAGCACCACAAACACAGACACAAAACCCUUCAUCUUCCUGAAAAAUUCAAAGUCAAACCAACAAAAUUAAAGACCCUUAAACCAAGCAAUGCAGCUACAAAGAUAAUCAUCAAUGAUAAAAACAUUAACCUCAGUUCAAGUUCAACUAAAAGUGUUCAACCAACUAUAAUCACUAAGUUUCACAAAUUGAAUCUAAAACAAACAAAAAAAUAUACCUUGGAAUUUGAUUUUUGAAAUGAGGUAAAAUAGCUAUGAUAGCAUAGGCACGUAGGAGGGAUAUAUAUAGGAUUGGAAAAUAAUGGAUCUGAUAGAUUUAAAAAUAAAUAUAUAUUAAAUGUUGUAAUGUGAUUAUAUAAAAAAUUAGAGUUAUCUAAUAUCAUUAUCCAUAUAAGUUAUAGAAAACAACAGAAAUGCACUUCUUUACCAACACAAUUCUUCUGUUAAAAACAAACUCUUUUUUAUUUACGAAAUUUAACUAUUUUUAUUUAAUUUAAUUUUUUAAAAUAUUUUAGCUUUAAUUAAUGUUUGUAAGUUGUAGAUGAGAACAUGUUAAUAUUAAUUUAGAUGUAAUAUCCUAAAUCCUAAAGUAAAAUAUAAUUUAAUUUUAGUCAUGUAUACUUUAAUGAUAUUUUUCUUUAAAUGUUGUACUUUUAAUUAAUACGUAAUCUUUAGUUAUACCAUUAUAAUAUGUAUUGUAUAUUUUGAGACAUUAAUAACAUCUUUUUAAAAUAAUAUUAGAAAUUAAUAAAAGUUGAUGUAACGUUUCUUAAAGAUAAUCUUUCCAGAUGAAAAAUUGAUACUCACUUCUUCAUUUUUGAAAAAGCGAAACACAAAUUAACUAACCGUAUAACUAAAGAUGAUGCUCCUAUUUAUUUCAUUCAUUUGCUCUUUUUUACUUCUUAAAAUGCUUCUUCCCAAUACAAAAAUAAAACCUCAUUCCUCAUAAUAACAAUAUUUAUUAUUAUUAUUAUUAUUAUAAAAAACAUAAUAUAUAGGUUGAUUUUUUUUCUUUUGAUAACAUAAAUUGAUUUUAGAAAAAAGUUUGAGAAAGUUGUAAUAAUGAUCUGAAUCAUAUAGAAAAAUCUGAGAUAUUAGUGUAUAGCGAGAUUAUGGGGGUUGUUAAAUAAUACUGAAAUGGAUUAUAUUUACUAUAAAAAAAAUUAUAAUUAAUAGAUAAUACUUAAUUAUAUAUUAAAACAGAUAAUUCGCCAGGUUCUUUACUCAAAUAGUUUAGAAAACUAUCUAAUUUAUAUUAUUCUUUAAAAAAAUUAUGAAAAUUAAUUAAAAAUAUUUUUUAUUUAGAAGACUCUUAAUUUUUUUCCUUAUCUCAAUAUAGAAAAUAAAUAAUUGACACUGAUAUAAAAAGGAAGUAAUAGAUACUAAUUUAUUUUCAAACAUUUUUUUUUAAACAUGGUAUAAAUAUUAAACAGAAUAAUUGAAAAUAAAAUUUUGAAAUUCUUUUUAAUAAAGUAAAACUAAUUUAAAUAUAUUCAUAAUAAAAAUUAACUCCGUAUUUCCUAUUAUUUAAAUAAUUAAAUAUGAAAAAUAAAUAUGUGCACUUUAAUAGCUUAUUAUUAAAAAUAAAAUAAUAAGUUACUACUAAAAGAAUUUUAGGAACUAUGAUUUGUAUGCUAAGGAUAAUGCGAUAUCAUUUAAAUUAAUAAAUAUUAUUGAAUAUUUAAUUAAGCAUUAAUUAAAAUUUGAAAUCAUAUAAAAAAAUUAAGUUAGAAGGUGAAUUCAUUUAUUAAAGUUAAUUAUUUCGAAGAAAUGGAUAUAGAACUCAUUGAAUUGACCAUUUAAAAAACACUUAUUUAUGAUAAGAGUGAAUAGUUUUUGAAAGAAAGUGUUACAAAAAUAGUCACUGAUAUAUUUAUUAAUUAACACAUAACCAUAAAGUUUUUGUUGGCAUACAAAAAGUGUGUAAUGGAGAUAUAUGUUAUUUAAAAAUUAUACAAUUUUGAGAAGAAAUUAACAAGUAAUUAAUGAUUUUUCAUUACCUUUAUUAAUUUUUAUUAAAUAUAAAAUAGUUAAGCUACUUUAAUUUAUUUUAUUUUAAUACUAUUAAGAUAUAGUCUCUGUCAUAUCAAAUACAAGAAAAAAAGAAUUGACACUAAUUAUGGAAAUGAAGUAACAGAUAGUAAAUUAUUUUCAAACAAAUUAACUAACAUUCUUCAAAAGUGAAAUGUUUUAGAUAUUGAAAAUAAAAUUUCAAUUCAAUGAAUAAAAUUUUAAAAAUAUAUUUAGUAAAGUAAAAUUACUUAAAAUAUAUUUAUUAUGAUAAGUUUUCAUAGAAAAACAUUAGAAAAACAACUCCGUAUUCCCUAUUUGUUAAAUCAUUAAAUCUAAAAAUAAAUAUUUGUAUUUUAAUAAAUGUCAAUUACCAAUUAAAAGUAUGUUUGCAAUAAUUUAAUGGAAGUUGUAUUAUUAAUAUUUGGCUUAAGAAACCAAUUGUAGCUGGUAAGUAUAACGUUAUCUCAUUAAUUAAUAAAUACUAUUGUAUAAUUAAUUAUGCAUUAAUUCAAAAUUUUAAAAUAUAUAUUUUUUAAUUUUAGAAUUUAUUCUACUGAAUAUUUAUUUAUUUUUGUGUAAGCACUCUAUUAUUUUGUUUUUGUUAUUAAUGAAAUUAUGUGAUCAUUAUUUUUAAUAUAAUUAUUUCAAAAAAAAAUUCUUUUUAAUUUUAUUAGUCAGUCAAUUCGCUUAUUUCUUCCUUAAGAACAAGUUAAUUAUUAAAUUAUUAUUUUUUUCUUAAUGAACAUGUUCCCUUCCUUUGUUGCAAAAAAUAUUUUUUAUUAAAUAUAAAUAAGUUUUUAAAAUGCCUUAACUUUAAUAUGUAAUAUACACACAUACAUAUCACAUUUGAAGAUUUAUAAAAUUUAAUGAAUAAAAAUAUUUACUUAAUCAGUUUAAUUUAAUCUUAUUCCUUAUAAAUAUUAAUGACUUAUUUGCAUCACAAUUUCAUAGUCGGCGUGAUCCAAAAGACAAAAAAAUCUACCAUGAUAUUUUAGAAAUUAAAAAUAGACUCUUUACAUAACCUAAUUAUCUAAAUCCUAAUUAUCACGUAAACUAAAUAUCUUUUAUAUUAUCAUUUAUUAAAAUGAUGUAAUAGUAAAAUAUUAUUCUGCAAAUGAAAAUAAACAACUUACUCUUUCUAUAUUUAUUUUUAAGAAUAAAUACAUUAUUUUUAAUUAUUCAUUUUCCUAAGAUUCUAUAAUUUUAACUAAUAUCCAACAUUUGAUUACAUUAUUAUCAUAUGUAUUUUUUUCCGACACGUAUUUUUUUACGACACUACUAAUAAGAAAAUUUCAGGACAAAUAUCAAUAAUAGAUAAAAUUUAGACAGUUUCUUCCUACCUCCCUACAUUUUUCUUCUUGCACCCUACAAUAUUUUGCAAAGAUCAAAUUGUUCUUAUUAUUUUUUAAAAACCCUAAAACCCUAAAAUGCACUUGAACUGAGCAUUAUGGAUUAUGGAAUUUGGAAAAAUUUUGGAUUGACACUUUUGGUAAAAUUUUGGAUCCACCAAUCCGUAAUUCAAAAUAUGCAUUUCACAUUCAAAAAUUCAACAUUAAAAAAAAGCAUUCCGGAUCCACUAAUCCGUAAUAGAAAUAUGCAUUCCGGAUUCAGAAAUCUGUAAUUAAAAAAAAAAACAUUCCGGAUCCAUGAAUCCGUAAUAGAAUUAGGCUUAUGGAUUCAACAAUCCAGAAAUCAAUAAUUUAUACAAAAUUGCUUUCGGAACACCCCCUCGUCCGAAAAAAAAAUAUUCAGUUCUGGAUUGAUGAAUGCGUAACACACUUCCAGAUCCCUAUUUCCGGUAACCACGGUGUGGUUUUUCAAAUAAAAGAUUAAGGCCAGUUUCGGGAUUUAGAAAAUUGUGGAGGUGCAGGAAGAAAAAUGUAGGGGUGCAGGAAGAAGAAGCCUAAAAUUUAAUGGAAUUAACUUGCCUCCUAAUUUUGUGAAUUAAGGUUUCUUUUUCUUAUAAAUUCAAAAAUUUCACUUCCCAAUUUUUUCAGACAACAUUAGUUUUAUUUUCUCAUUUAUAUUCUUAUAUUUCAACUAAUUUUUAUUAAAAUCAUGAAAAAUUGAAUAUUUUUGUCAGUAUAUGGAAAAACAACUUAAAACAGAAACCGAGAAACUAAUUUAUUUUCUUAUAUAUAUAUAUAUAUAUAUAUUACUGUCAUUCAUAUAAUUAUGCAAAUAAAAAAUAUAUAUUUUUACUGUCAAAUCACAUUAUUAAUGAUAUGGCAUUAUUCUUAAGUAUGUGUUGAUUAAUUCAAAAGUUAACUCUCUGCAUAUAAAUAAAUAGGUUUACAAAGAACCAUGCCAACUAAAUUUUGAUACAGUGUAAACAGCUACACUGAGUAGUGAGACAUAUCAUCACUUCUCUUAACCCUUGCUUCUUUUCAUUUAGAUAAAUGAAUACACAGAAAGGUCAAGUCACAAGAAGAUGUUCAUCCUUUAUUCUUUCUACAUUUGUUUAUCGAUUUCUUGAUCUCUUAUAGAUGAAGCACAUUAUACUGUUUAUUUUCAAGGGGGAAAAUUGUAUCAAUCUUGAAUAUUGAAAUAUACUGUAUAGAACUCAUCUCUGAAUGAGAAUAAUGGCUGCAAAAGAAAAUACUUGUUUGCUCCUUUAGCCACAAAACUGAUAGGAUUGUAUUGGUUCAAUCCUUCCCUAGCAACAAAGCUUGUUGCUUGCUUAAAAGAAGAAUCAGAAUCAGAUUUGCAACUGAGUUUGACUCCAGCACUAGAGCUCAAAGCACCAUACACAUAGCAGCCCUUGUCACUCUGUGAUUCUAAAGAUAUGGUUUCAUUUCUUCCAUCCAAUCCUGGAACCAUAAGAAAAACAGAAGAUGGCUUGCCAUCUGAAGAAUCUACAAUGAGAAGAGGUUUGUCUUCUCCUUGGUGAAUCACAUUCAUUCCAGGAAGAUCAAAUGGUUCUAACAUCACUGAUCUACCAUAAGCAUCUGCCAAUGUUGAAAACUUUGAGGAAGAUUCUUUUAGGACAAGCCUGAAGGUUGCCCUUAGAGCCAAAUCAGUGCCAGAUUCAGGCAACUUUUGCAUUGCAAGUGAUUGGUUUGAAUUUGCCAACACAAAAGUUGAUUUUUCAAAGUCUUGGAAAAAUGAAACUAGUUGGCUAUUGUAAC